CCUACGGGAGGCAGCAGUGAGGAAUAUUGGUCAAUGGCCGAGAGGCUGAACCAGCCAAGUCGCGUGAGGGAGGACGGCCCUAAGGGUUGUAAACCUCUUUUGUCGGGGAGCAAAGCGCGUCACGUGUGCGUCAUUGAGCGUACCCGAAGAAAAAGCAUCGGCUACCUCCGUGCCAGCAGCCGCGGUAAUACGGAGGAUGCGGGCGUUAUCCGGAUUUAUUGGGUUUAAAGGGUGAGCAGGCGGAAGAUAAAGUCAGCGGUGAAAUUGAGGGGCUCAACCUCGUCGAGCCGUGUAAACUGGGUUUCUAGAGUGAGCGAGAGGUAUGCGGAAUGCGUGGUGUAGCGGUGAAAUGCAUAGAUAUCACGCAGAACCCCGAUUGCGAAGGCAGCAUACCGGCGCUCAACUGACGCUGAGGCACGAAAGCGUGGGUAUCGAACAGGAUUAGAUACCCGAGUAGUC
rnacentral:rRNA from 1 species